rnacentral:rRNA from 1 species
UACAGAGGGUGCAAGCGUUAAUCGGAAUUACUGGGCGUAAAGCGUGCGCAGGCGGUUUUGUAAGUCUGUCGUGAAAUCCCCGGGCUCAACCUGGGAAUUGCGAUGGAGACUGCAAGGCUGGAGUCUGGCAGAGGGGGGGUAGAAUUCCACGUGUAGCAGUGAAAUGCGUAGAGAUGUGGAGGAACACCGAUGGCGAAGGCAGCCCCCUGGGUCAAGACUGACGCUCAUGCACGAAAGCGUGGGGAGCAAACAGG